rnacentral:rRNA from 1 species
UAUUCUCUCUGCCGUAGCUAACGCAUUAAGUGCCCCGCCUGGGGAGUACGGCCGCAAGGCUAAAACUCAAAAGAAUUGACGCUGGCUCGCACAAGCGUGGAGCAUGUGGCUUAAUUCGAUGCAACGCGAAAAACCUUACCGGGGCUUGACAUGGUAGAGUAGGAACCCGAAAGGGUAACGAACGGUAUCCAGUCCGUAGCUAUUACAGGUGUUGCAUGGCUGUCGUCAGCUCGUGUCGUGAGACGUUGGGUUAAGUCCCCUAA